rnacentral:rRNA from 1 species
GUCUACGACCAUGCCACCCUGAACAAGCCUGAUCCCAUCUGAUCUCGGAAGCUAUGCAGGGUCGGGCCUGGUUAGUACUUGGAUGGGAGACCACCUAGAAAGACCAGGUGCCAUAGGUG